AAACAGGCUCAGCCCAAACAAUGGCCUGGAACGCCCGGCUUUCGGGCCCCGCCGGAAGCCCGUCCAGCGCCCAACAAAAGCGGCGCGACAAGUCUACGACUGAGCCGAACGCUUCUGGGCGCCGCGCGCCAGGGGGAAACGUUCGCGGCGGAACGUUCAGGAGAAAACGCUCCAGCAACUCCCAGCCGACCCCGCCCCUCCCCGACCUACCAUAGACGCCGUCCUCCAUGGCGGCUAGGAAGGCCCGCGGGGAAUCCGGGGCGGUCCCGCCAGUCGGGCCUGGAUCCGCGUUGGCCCGCGGGCUCGGGUGAGCCCGCUCAAACGCCCCGGGAGCCACCGCCGCCUCCUCAGCGCCAGUCCUCAGCGCUGAAAAGACUCUUCCCUUCGUCGCCCAACCGCCCCUUCAGUAGGGACCGCCCCUCUUUUUGACACUGUCCAAUCCACAGUGGGCGCUUUCGUCCUCCCCGCCCUCGCCACCAAAGGAUCGUUCUCCAGGGCCAACAGUCGUACAAAAAGCCGGUGUAGGUAUGUCCGGCCAGAGGUAGACGGCCCGCGGGGCCAAUCGGAGUGCAGGCAGGGCAGCAGGCCCCGCCUCCGAAACAACAGAAAGCACUUGACAGGCUUGCUCUCCAAUGAGAAGCCCCGGAAAAGUGUCGCGCGGAGGCGGAGCCACGCGGUACAGCCACCUCUGCGCCUGCUCAAAGGCCCUGGACACUUGGAGUCUAGACACCCGAGUUCAGAGCCAGCCUCCAAGAGUAUCUUACAUCCCAGCGUCUCCUGGAAGGCCGUAUGAUCCAGCACUGGGGAGAGGAGGGAAAUCCCCAGGACUCGAAUGCCCAUCCCACCCUUGGUGUAGUGAGGACUCAUCCUGCUGGAAAGGCCCCUGAAGAACUUCAAGUUCCAAUAUCCCGUUUUUACAGAUGGGGAAACUGACAUGAAGAGGAGUCCAAAGUGACACAGUCAGGCCAGAAAUGUUGCUUCUGAAGUCCUGAGUCCACCUCCUAGCACUGCCAAGCAGUCCACCUGGAGGUGAUGAGAACUUCCAGGCUUUGGUAAUGGACAACUCUGUAUCCCUGGAGCCUUCAUUCCUUUUGGCAUUACAGAACCACAAGAAGUCAUCUAGAAUCAUUGAGAUUCUCAACUCCAUUGGGCAAACUGGAACCAGCAAAAUCUCAGAUAUCUAGAAUUGCCACUGCUUCCUUGACUCUGUGAUCAGUCUACAGCCACAGAAUCCU
rnacentral:lncRNA from 1 species